CUCUGGCUUUAUCGAAGCUCGGUCAUCGCUAAAAAUCAAUCAAGAUGAAUCGAGUCAAUAUAGAGCCAACAUUAAAGUUCAUCAAUACGGUCACUGUUUGGUUUCGAUAAUAACUGAUUCAGUAACAUUAUAGAUGAAAAUAUUU
rnacentral:snoRNA from 1 species